rnacentral:rRNA from 1 species
UGGGGAAUAUUGGACAAUGGGCGAAAGCCUGAUCCAGCCAUGCCGCGUGUGUGAAGAAGGCCUUCGGGUUGUAAAGCACUUUUGUUGGGAAAGAAAUCCUGUCGGCCAAUACCCGGCGGGGAUGACGGUACCCAAAGAAUAAGCACCGGCUAACUUCGUGCCAGCAGCCGCGGUAAUACGAAGGGUGCAAGCGUUACUCGGAAUUACUGGGCGUAAAGCGUGCGUAGGCGGUUCGUUAAGUCUGUCGUGAAAGCCCUGGGCUCAACCUGGGAAUUGCGAUGGAUACUGGCGAGCUAGAGUACGGUAGAGNAUGGUGGAAUUCCCGGUGUAGCGGUGAAAUGCGUAGAGAUCGGGAGGAACACCCGUGGCGAAGGCGGCCAUCUGGACCAGUACUGACGCUGAGGCACGAAAGCGUGGGGAGCAAACA